UUAAUUCAACAUAGUGAUGGUAGGUAGCAGAGAGGACAGGUUAAUCAACAUAGUGAUGGUAGGUAGCAGAGAGGACAGGUUAAUCAACAUAGUGAUGGUAGUAGGAGAGAGGACAGGUUAAUCACACAUAGUGAUGGUAGGUAGGAGAGAAGACAGGUUAAUCAACAUAGUGAUGGUAGGUAGGAGAGAAGACAGGUUAAUUCAACAUAGUGAUGGUAGGUAGAGAAG